GGCAUGGUGCUUUAGUGGUUAGCAUGUUUGCCUCGCCACUCCAGGGUUGGGGGUUAGAUUCCCGCCUCUGCCC